rnacentral:rRNA from 1 species
UACGGAGGGUCCAAGCGUUAUCCGGAUUCAUUGGGUUUAAAGGGUCCGUAGGCGGGAAAAUAAGUCAGUGGUGAAAGCCUACAGCUUAACUGUAGAACUGCCAUUGAAACUGUUUUUCUUGAAUUUAGAUGAAGUGGGCGGAAUAUAUCAUGUAGCGGUGAAAUGCAUAGAUAUGAUAUAGAACACCGAUUGCGAAGGCAGCUCACUAAACUAACAUUGACGCUGAGGGACGAAAGCGUGGGGAGCGAACAGG